rnacentral:rRNA from 1 species
AGGAUGAACGCUGGCGGCGUGCCUAAGACAUGCAAGUCGAGUGGGUUUAGACCCACGGCGAACGGGUGAGUAAUACCUAGGAACGUAUCUUUAGUUGAGGAUAUCCUCCCGAAAGGGAGAGCAAUACUCAAUGUGAUCGCAAGAUUAAAGUCGCAAGACGCUAAAGAAGCGGCCUGGGCACCAUCAGCUAGUUGGUAAGGUAAAAGCUUACCAAGGCUAUGACGGUUAGGGGUCCCGAGAGGGAUAACCCCCACACUGGAACUGCGACACGGUCCAGACUCCUACGGGAGGCAGCAGUUUGGAAUUUUGGACAAUGGGCGAAAGCCUGAUCCAGCGACGCCGCGUGGACGAUGAAGGCCUUCGGGUUGUAAAGUCCUUUGCUCGGGACAAUUUUUGAGCGUACCGAGAGAAUAAGAGGUUGCUAACUCUGCGCCAGCAGCCGC